CCCGGGAAAAGCGUUCACGCAGAGGAAACGAUGGUGUCAUUUGUGUAGAAAACCACGAGCAGCCGAAAUUGAGUGCGAUUAUUACAUUCCGUGAAAGCUGAACCAACAAAGAAACAUCAUUGUUCUAGCCAGUUUGCUUAUAUUAACUUUUAGGAAAACCAAGAGGUUGAUAACAAUGGCUGAUCUGCAUAUAAUGACUGCUAGUUAUUGGCUGGUAUGCAGUGAAAGGGAGCUAAAAAGGAGUAAAAAGUUCACAUCAGCCAGGUAGUGUGGUUUAAAUAAACCAGUGUUAAGGAAUAUCCAGUAAUUACAUGAC